rnacentral:rRNA from 1 species
GUGCCAGCAGCCGCGGUAAUACGGAGGGUGCAAGCGUUGUCCGGAUUUAUUGGGUUUAAAGGGUGCGUAGGCGGCUAUUUAAGUCAGUGGUGAAAUCCUUCCGCUUAACGGGAGAACUGCCAUUGAAACUGGAUAGCUUGAGUACGGUUGAAGUAGGCGGAAUUUAUGGUGUAGCGGUGAAAUGCAUAGAUACCAUAAAGAACACCAAUAGCGUAGGCAGCUUACUAAGCCGUAACUGACGCUGAGGCACGAAAGCAGGGGGAGCGAACAGGAUUAGAUACCCGUGUAGUCC